AACCCCAUAAAACCUUUGUGGUAUUGAAACUCUUUCUCUGGCAUCUUCCCAUUGCAUUGGUGUAGAUGAGAGAUUGAGCUCGAGCUAGCUCGAAUAAAGGCUCUUUGCUUUUGCAUCGGUGUUGGCUCCUUGGUGGUCUUCUGGGAUUCACAACUUUGGGCACAACAUUUGGGGGCUCGUCUGGGAUCCCAGAGACCCCCAGGACUCCCGACCCAGAGGGCCCUGUGCCGGCUGAAAUAUCCGAAUUUCCUUAUGUCUACUGUCUUGCAGUAAGCUCUCAUCAGAUCUUUAACCAUUGUCAUUUAAGCCACAAAACUGCAAAUAGUAAUAGAAAUGAAACUCAGAAUAGAAGCGCCAACUUUCUGAGGCCCUCUCAACUGACCAGUGAUGGAGACCUAGCUGCACCCUUUACUGCGCCCCCUUCUCAGCACGAAGCAGCCAGAGCAGUCAUUGCCCCUUUUCCCUAGCAGCAGCUAGGGUCUCUAUCUGUAGAGGGGAGAAUGAGACAGGGACCAUAGGCUUAGACAGAAUAAGGUGAGAGCCUCUGGAGGGGGCAGGGCAGGAUAUUUGCAAUCAGAGCAACAUAAAGAAGAGUAGCACAUGUUUUAUUAUGCUAAUCAUUUGUAAUCAUGUAUAAGAUUCACUUUAGCAUACUAAAAGGCCCAGGCCUAGGUGCUGUCUUUCCUCCUUCAGAUCUGACUAGGUAAUUUUGCAAGCUGAGCAAUUGACUUAGCAUGCAGACCCAGCUGUAGUCGGCAUAGUAAAAGGCAGGAUUCUUUAGCAAAUAGACAAUAUCUCAGCCCACCUUAGAGGCUGGGCAUGCAGUCUUUUGAUGUGCACCCGAACCAAGGUGCCAGUGUCCCAGAGAGAAAUCAAGGCAGGAAAUUAUCUUUAAUAUUCAAGGACCCCUUGCCAUCCUACUCCUUUUAUUAACCCUUAGGCCCUGUAUCAUCAACAGGCUGGUCCAGAUUGUCAGAGACCACAUGGGGGCCAUCCAACUAAUAGUCCUCCAGGCUCAAUACAAGCCCCUAGUAAUCUUGUUACUCCUGCUUACCUUUAGACCAUGUAUCCUCAAUAAACUGAUAACUUUAAUUAAAGAUAGAAUUAAUAGAGUCCAGCUAAUGGUGCUAAGACAACAGUAUCAGCCUUUAUCUCCUUACAACUGCAAAACCUUAUUAGACCCAUGAUUGGGUCCCUUCUUAGGAUCCAGAGAAAGGGGAGAAUGAAGGGGCAAGCUCCCAGAUUCUAUUUCAGCCAAUUGGGACCCAGAUCCUACCUCAGCCAAUCGGGACCCGGAUCCUAUUUCACCCAAUCAGAGCUUGGUCUCUCUCCUCUCCAGUCAGCAAGGGGCUCAUCCACCAUCCUUAGACCCUGCCAAUUGACCAGAGCCAUGACCUAUCACCCCACCAACUACCCCUAGAUCCAGCCAAUCAGCCAGAGCCACAACCAUCACCCCACCAACUGCCCUAGAACCCCAUAAAACCUUUGUGGUAUUGAAACUCGCUCUCUUUCUCUGACAUCUUGCCACUGCAUUGGUGUAGAUGAGAGACUGAGCUCAAGCUGGCUUGAAUAAAGGCUCUUUGCUUUUGCAUCGGUGUUGGCUCCUUGGUGGUCUUCUGGGAUUCGCAACUUUGGGCACAUCAGAAACAGACAGGAUAGGAUCUUUUCUAGUCCACUGAAAAAGGUAUAGAUGGAACAGCAGGAGGAGCUCCUGGGGAGAAGUGAGCGAGAACCUGAGCUCAGAGCUGGGAGGCUGGGUUCUGGGCCCGGUGCCGCCAUGACACAGGGCAGAGCCUCACCCAGACCCCACCUACAGAGGUCCCUAGCCCCUGCCUCCUCUUCUCUGCUGCCACUCUUCCUCAUGCUCACCACCUCCAGACAUGCUGGCUUGCGGCCCCUUCAGGGUCUCAGGCCCUUUUCAGCUGCUGUUCCCCCUGCCCAGGAUGUUCUUCCUCGGACCUUAGAGUGGCUGGCUCCUUCUCAUCUUUUGGCUUCAAUGUUACUUCCUCCCAGAAGCCCUUUCUGAGCCUCCUGCCACCAUCACUUGAUCACAUGCCCUCUUUUAUUAUGGUCACUGCACAUAUCAUUGCCUGAGAUUAUCCUCUUAAGUCAUUGUUUACUCUUUCCCCACAUUACACAGAAACAGCAGAAAGGCAGGAUCUGGGCUGGUUUGAGCACAUUUGCAACCUCAAGACCCAGAGCAGAACCUGACUUUACAGGGGGAACAGCAGAAGCUGCGGGAAGCUGAGUAACUGGCCUGAGGUCACAAGCUCAUAAGCAGUGGAACUGAGAUU